GGUGGAUUUGUGGUGCAGGUGCAUAAACUAUAUCCCCACAAGCAAUGAUCGGCAUUAGCAUUUGCUACAUCUGUUUCCUUACUGUAGGGCAUGCAUAGGUACCUUCGGCACUCCAGAUGUUUUGGACUACACCUCCCAUGAUGCUUUGCUAGCAUUAUGGGUGUAAGAGCAUUAUGGUGGAUGUAGUCCACAACAUCUGCAGUGC